rnacentral:ncRNA from 1 species
CUUUUGACAAUGAUUGAGAAGGAAGGACGCUUUUAGAGACGAAAGGCCAUGGGGAGAUGCCGUCUGUGAUCCAUGGAUCUCCAAUCGGGAAAUCGUAUCCAAGCUCCGUGGCUAGUCUGCGCUCUUUGGACUUUUCAAACUUAGCGAACUGAAACAUCUUAGUAGCUAAAGGAAGGGAAAUCAACCGAGACCCCGUUAGUAGCGGCGAGCGAGAGUGAACUGGGGUUUGACAAAAACAAACACGAAGAUNUGAGACCCCAUUAGUAGCGGCGAGCGAGAGUGAACUGGGGUUUGACAAAAACA